rnacentral:rRNA from 1 species
AGUGAACGCUGGCGGUAGGCCUAACACAUGCAAGUCGAACGGCAGCACAGUAAGAGCUUGCUCUUACGGGUGGCGAGUGGCGGACGGGUGAGGAAUACAUCGGAAUCUACUUUUUCGUGGGGGAUAACGUAGGGAAACUUACGCUAAUACCGCAUACGACCUACGGGUGAAAGCAGGGGAUCUUCGGACCUUGCGCGAUUGAAUGAGCCGAUGUCGGAUUAGCUAGUUGGCGGGGUAAAGGCCCACCAAGGCGACGAUCCGUAGCUGGUCUGAGAGGAUGAACAGCCACAAUGGAACUGAGACACGGUCCAGAACCCUACGGGAGGCAGGAGUGGGGAAUAUUGGACAAUGGGCGGAAGCCUGAUCCAGGCAUGACGGGUGGGUGAAAAAGGCCCUCCGGUUGUAAAGCCCUUUUGUUGGGAAAGAAAAGCAGGCGGUUAAUAACCCGGUGUUCUGACGGUAACCAAAGAAUAAGGAACGGCUAACUUCGUG